rnacentral:rRNA from 1 species
UACGUAGGGGGCGAGCGUUGUCCGGAUUUAUUGGGCGUAAAGAGCUCGUAGGCGGUUCGGUAAGUCGGAUGUGAAAUCUCCACGCUCAACGUGGAGGGGCCAUUCGAUACUGCCGUGACUCGAGUCCGGUAGGGGAGUGUGGAAUUCCCGGUGUAGCGGUGAAAUGACGCAGAGAUCGGGAGGAACACCCGUAGCGAAGGCGGCACUCUGGGCCGGAACUGACGCUGAGGAGCGAAAGCGUGGGUAGCAAACAGG